AAGGAUCAUUAGCAGAUUAUGGGGUGUAGGGUGUGAAAACACUCUACACUUGACAAUGUGGUGAGAGUGACGUAGGUUCCGUGAGGGGAAUACUUUUCCUCGCGGACACACACUUUUAUACGAGUUAUUGUGCAACAUUACAUCAAUAUACACAUAUAUAUUAUCACAACUUUCAACAGUGGAUCUCUGGGCUCUU
rnacentral:misc_RNA from 1 species